AUGCAGAGCAAAUCCCCAAAAAUUAGUCUCAGUUCAGAUUGCAGGCUGAAACUCGCCUGCAUGAAGUCGGAAUUGCUAGUAAUCGCAGAUCAGCAUGCUGCGGUGAAUACGUUCCCGGGCCUUGUACACACCGCCCGUCACACCAUGGGAGUCGGUAACACCCGAAGCCUGUAGUCUAACCGCAAGGAGGACGCAGUCGAAGGUGGGAUUGAUGACUGGGGUGAAGUCGUAACAAGGUACC
rnacentral:rRNA from 1 species